rnacentral:rRNA from 1 species
UACGGAGGGUGCGAGCGUUGUCCGGAAUCAUUGGGCGUAAAGGGCGCGUAGGUGGCGGGACAAGCGUGCGGUGAAAGCUCGGGGCUCAACCCCGAGUCGGCCGUGCGAACUGUUUUGCUUGAGCACUGUAGAGGCAGGCGGAAUUCCGGGUGUAGCGGUGGAAUGCGUAGAGAUCCGGAAGAACACCGGUGGCGAAGGCGGCCUGCUGGGCUAUGGCUGACACUGAGGCGCGACAGCGUGGGGAGCAAACAGG